GACGAACGCUGGCGGCGUGCUUAACACAUGCAAGUCGAACGGAAAGGCCCUGCUUUUGUUGGUUGCUCGAUUGGCGAACGGGUGAGUAACACGUGAGUAACCUGCCCUUGACUUUGGGAUAACUUCAGGAAACUGGGGCUAAUACCGGAUAUGAUCUCCUGCUGCAUGGUGGGGGUUGGAAAGUUUCGGCGGUUGGGGAUGGACUCGCGGCUUAUCAGCUUGUUGGUGUGGUAGUGGCUUACCAAGGCUUUGACGGGUAGCCGGCCUGAGAGGGUGACCGGCGACAUUGGGACUGAGAUACGGACCAGAAGCCUACGGGAGGCAGCAGUGGGGAAUAUUGCAGAAUGGGCGGAAGCCUGAUGCAGCAACGCCGCGUGCGGGAUGACGGGCUUCGGGUUGUAAACCGCUUUCGCAUGUGACGAAGCGUGAGUGACGGUAAUGGGUAAAGAAGCACCGGCUAACUACGUG
rnacentral:rRNA from 1 species